UUAUUAUUCAGAAAAGUAUGAGACAAAAUCAUUUACAAAUUGUGUGAGCUACAACUAAAGGCUCAUUAGUACGAUCAAAAAUAGUGUCUUUCAUGAAAUCAACCAAAAUUUGUUUGAACACUUGUUAAGAUUUACAUAAAAACUACUACUGGUCAUGAUCACAUUGACUAAUAUAUUUUUGCAGUAGUAUAUAGAAGCUAAUACUUAUUGUAUUCAAAUCAAAUAAAUAAGACCAAUACCUAAGCAAAUUUGUCCAUACCUAGUUGAGCACAAAUAGAUCACUAUUCCAUUACACAAAUGAUUUUUUAGCUGCAAUCAACAAAAAUUGUCAGGAAAGUAAUCUAAAUCCAUGAAGCCAUUUAAGCAAGAGAAAGAAGACUAGAUAGAUCUGAACAACUCAUAUUAACUGAAACAAAACACAAACUUUGAGUAGAGGACAAUCUCAUUAUAUUUUCAGAGUCCUCUAUCGUCUAUACACAACGGGGUACUUUCAAAGCUUCAAUGGCCACCCAAUAGGUAAGAAGAGUACCUGGAAAUAAAAAGAAGUAAGAAGAAGGUAAGGUUUCAGUAGAGGAAUAAACAGCAGCAGCACAACAAGGCUCAGCUCAAACAAUCCAUUUCAACCAUAAAAAUGGUGUGAAUACAACCCAGAUCCAUUCUCAACCAAACAGGAAUCAAGCUGACCCCUAACCAAGCUCUUUAACAAACCAAAUUCAAACCAUUUUACCCCAAAUAAACCAGCAAUUUUCAGCACUAAAAGAAACCUCAAAAAUCAAAGUAAAUUGAGGAAACUCCAAUGGAGCUGUACAAAGUAUUUGACUCCCUGCUUUUCUGAAUUGUUUCUCUUAACCUCCCAAAAAUCAAACUAUUUCAGCCCCAGAUAAAUCAGUUCACAUUAUAGAUGUUGAAAAACCAAAAUAUCACAAAGAAGCACUCAAUGAAAAAAUUCUAUUAGAAUUCUCAGCCGCCUCAAGUUUUUCCAGAUUUCUUAGCUCUUCCGGUAUGCCUUGAAUGACAAGGAAAUGGUGCCUUUAUAGGCAAGGCCAGUAGGGAAACCUUAGGUUUUCAUUUUUACACUUUACCCCUUUUAAAUUUUCGUUUUAGCUUUGUGACCUUAGAUUUCCGACUUGUCACCCAAGUUAAACCACCCAAAAAUUAAAAUUUUCCUAAAAACCCCUACUAGAGAUUUCCGAAAUAAGUUACCAAAAGAUUACUUGACCUAGAGUUCCUAAACAACCAUGGGAUAUCUUACUAAUUACUUUCUACCCUUCAACAGCUCAUAUUCUGAAAUCUCUUUCAGGAAAGCAAAAUCUUGAAUGCUACAAAUCUUAUCAGUCAAUGCCAAACAUCAGAAUUGUUCAUGAACUAUACACACAUAUUAGUACGAUUUUCC
rnacentral:lncRNA from 1 species